CUAACUCGCGUGUCAAACCUCGUGUAUGUGUGCUCGUUGUAACAAUGUUACAAGAGAUACCAAUAUAUGUAUCGAAAUUAAUAUUUUUAAAUGCGUUGGAUCGACUACUUCUCGGGCUACGAAAGAGCUGAGAGUAUAAAAAGAUUGUAUAUAAGAGACGAUAUUUGGUAUUCGAGCACUUUUAGCCGAUCGCAACGCCAUGGGUGGCGAGAAUUUGAAACACCCAUUUUUUAACGGAUCGCGAAACAGAUCACAUCACUCCGAUCCUAAAAAUAGGCAGUAUAGCCAAUGGUUCAGAGAAAAAAGAUUUGCUAUUUUUAGAUGUAUGUUAUUUUUAGAUUGUAUGUGUGACCUUGGAACCCCACGAUUUUCGCGAAGGCCCAGAAUUGAAGCCCAUCUUAUUUUGCCAAAUUAGCGUUCUUUCUCGAUUCGAUCGGCGUAGUGAACGGACGUAGUCCCCAAAACCUAGUGGAAGAUAUAGUUAGAAAACUUCGUGUUAGCCAGUCGAUAGUAAAAUUAAAUCGAGAGUAUUGUCUAGUGGUUGAGACCGUGAUUAUAGGCCCAAGUGAGCCAAGUCUAUUGAGCUAGUCAAAUUCAAACCAAGCUCUAAAAUUUCCUACCAUUUUUGGAAAUCGUACAGCGAAAUUCGCUCGAGGUCAAGGUAAUUAUUUAAAUCAGAACAACAUUUGUUAAUAGAGAUGACCAAAAUUGUAAUAUUAAUUUGUUCUCGCUUGAAGGACCAACUAUCCUUCAAGUGAAGGUGUUUCG